UACAGAGGGGGCAAGCGUUAUUCGGAAUUAUUGGGCGUAAAGGGCGCGUAGGCGGCUUGGCAAGUGGAAGGUGAAAUCCCUCGGCUUAACCGAGGAACUGCCUUCCAGACUGCUUUGCUUGAGGCCGGGAGAGGCGAGUGGAAUUCCCAGUGUAGCGGUGAAAUGCGUAGAUAUUGGGAGGAACACCAGUGGCGAAGGCGGCUCGCUGGACGAUUGUUGACGCUGAGGUGCGAAAGCGUGGGGAGCAAACAGG
rnacentral:rRNA from 1 species